UAAAAUAAAGCUGAGAGAUCAGAUUCAUUCUGUCCCUAUCUACUAUCUAGCGAAACCACAGCCAAGGGAACGGGCUUGGAAUAAUUAGCGGGGAAAGAAGACCCUUUUGAGCUUGACUCUAAUCUGGCAGUGUAAGGAGACAUAAGAGGUGUAGCAUAAGUGGGAGAUAUUAGAUUUCGGUUUGGUAUCGACAAUGAAAUACCACUACUCUUAUUGUUUCCUUACUUACUUGAUUAAAUGGAACGUGUAUCAUUUCCUAGCCAUUAUACGGAUAUAUUUAUUAUAUCUUAUGGUAUUGGGUUUUGAUGCAAGCUUCUUGAUCAAAGUAUCACGAGUUUGUUAUAUAAUCGCAAACAAAUUCUUUAAUGAGAAAAUGCAUUUAUGUAUUUUCAAUUUGAAAAUUUGGUAUAACUCCAAUUACUCAGGUAUGAUCCAAUUCAAGGACAUUGCCAGGUAGGGAGUUUGACUGGGGCGGUACAUCUCUCAAAUAAUAACGGAGGUGUCCCAAGGCCAGCUCAGUGCGGACAGGAAACCACACAUAGAGCAAAAGGGCAAAUGCUGACUUGAUCUCGGUGUUCAGUACACACAGGGACAGCAAAAGCUCGGCCUAUCGAUCCUUUUGGUUUAAAGAGUUUUUAACAGAGUGUCAGAAAAGUUACCAUAGGGAUAACUGGCUUGUGGCGGCCAAGCGUUCAUAGCGACGUCGCUUUUUGAUCCUUCGAUGUCGGCUCUUCCUAUCAUUGUGAAGCAAAAUUCACCAAGCGUUGGAUUGUUCACCCAUGCAAGGGAACGUGAGCUGGGUUUAGACCGUCGUGAGACAGGUUAGUUUUACCCUACUAAUGACAAAACGUUGUUGCGACAGCAUUCCUGCGUAGUACGAGAGGAACCGCAGGUACGGACCAAUGGCACAAUACUUGUUCGAGCGAACAGUGGUAUGACGCUACGUCCGUUGGAUUAUGCCUGAACGCCUCUAAGGUCGUAUCCGUGCUGGACUGCAAUGAUAAAUAAGGGGCAAUUUGCAUUGUAUGGCUUCUAAACCAUUAAAAGUUUAUAAUUUAUUUUAUAAACGACAAUGGAUGUGAUGCCAAUGUAAUUUGUAACAUAGUAAAUUGGGAGGAUCAUCGAUCACCUGAUGCCGCGCUAGUUGCAUAUAAAAACAUUAUUUAAUACAAUGACAAAGCCUAGAAUCAAUUGUACACGACUUUUGUAACAGGCAAGGUGUUGUAAGUGGUUGAGCAGCUGCCAUACUGCGAUCCACUGAAGCUUAUCCUUUGCUUGAUGAUUC
rnacentral:ncRNA from 1 species